rnacentral:lncRNA from 1 species
AAAAUUCAAGGAAGGGUAAACUCGCACCUGUUCUACCCAGAAGAGUGGCUCAAGUUCACAUUCAGAAUUUAUUUGUUGAAAGAGUAUCUCCACUUUAUCACAAUAGAGCACUUCCAAUUCUUUCAGAAGUGGCCAGCUUGAACUAAACCUUCUAGAGCAAAAUCUUUUGAGUUGGUGUAAACCGGAGAGUGUGAGAGAGGUAAGGUUAGGGAAUAAGAGUAAAGGUGCUGCCUCAUCUUCAUUUUCAUUGGCAACAAUUGCCUCCACUCCACUCUGAAAUAUAUUUAGGUUCUCAAGUUGCACAAGAGCACUCGCCACAGAAACCGGAAAAAGGUUUAGCAAUUUGUUGCAUCCCCUUACUUGCAAUUCCCUUAAUUUGGAAAAUGAAUUUGCUGGAAGUUGGUCAGGCCACAAUGCUCUUAUAUUAUCUAGUCCGCAUACAGAAAAGGACUCCAAGCCUGGGAGUGCAACCUGUGCAAUUGAUGAUCCCUUUAGUUAAUAAUAUAUACAUAUACAUUCCUAAUAAUUAGCACAUGUAAAUAGAAAAUAAGAGGUUAAAGGAGAAUAUAUCAGUAUAACAAAGCACAAAAUUUAAACUAGAUUCAAGAAGAUCAAGAAAGAGAAAAGAAAAGAAAAAGCCUCCAGAUUUUAAAGAUACAAUGAAACUUAAAAAAAAAAAAAAAAAACCUCCAAAUUUUCCUUUCGAAAUGAGGUAAUAAGAGGAUUUUUUUUUUUUUCUUUUUUCUUUGCCUCUCUUUCAAAUUUGAUUAACUUCUAUGGAAAACGUAUUUUAACUAGUUAUGGAAAACGGAUUUUUUUUUUAAACUUUUAUAUAAGAUACAAGUAAUACUUUUAAAAAAUUGUGAUAUCUAAAAAAGUUUUUGAAAAAUUAUUUUUAAAGAAAUAAGGUAAAUCUAUACUUUUUGUAUAAGAUCUUCUACCUUUAUAUACAAAUUUCUGAUUUUUUUUUUUAAAGUGUAUCCAAAUGGACACUAAACUAUCUAGUUUUUAAUUGUUACAACUUUGAAUUGGAUUUUAUGGUAAACUAAUUUACAAGUUAAUGCAUGGAUUCAUCUUAGAUUCCAUCUAUAAAUUUUUUUAAUUAUCUAAUAUAAGACAUUAUAUUAAUGGGUUGAAUUAAUAAUGUAAUUAUAAUUUAUUUGGCAACUUUCUUCCUUCAAAUAUAUAAAAUGAAAAUAAAUUUUAAAAAAUAAAAAAGAAUGAAAAAAAUAAAAAAUAAAAAAAGCUUUUUUUUAUAGUUUUUCUAAGAUGAUUUUGUAGAGUACUGUUAGUUUAUAGUUUUAACUUUAUUUCAUUUUACUUUUAACUUUAUUUAUUGAGGUAUGUUCUUUUUUGAAACUCUUGUUUAGAUUUUAUAGAGAAUAUAAAUUUUAAGAAAAAAAAAGGAAAUUUAAAUAAAAUAAGAAUAAAGAAAGGCAAAAGGUGGAUGAAUUUUUUUAAGGCAAAAGUUUGAUAAUUUGGCACUAUCAUGUAAUGGGUGAAAUUUUUAAAUACUCAACAAAGGCUAGUGAAAUUUAAAUUAAAAGCUUGACAUGUACCUUUUCGACCAAAAUCUUUGGAGUUGGUGUAAAGUUUUGAGUAUGAGAGAGGUUAGUCUAGGGAAUAUUAUUGCACAUUUGUUCAAAUAAAACAUCAACAUUUUUUUUUGUUAAAUUCUAAAUGAACACCACUAUAAAUUAAUGCGAUUUUGUAUGCUCAAUUAAAUAAACUCAUUCUUAAGGCAUCACAUGAAGUGUUUAAGUCUAAUUAAUAUUAAUUAAAAAUGAUUAUAUUAAAAAAAAUCCAAAGUAAUUUAUUUUUAUCAUAAGUCAAGUAGGAUAGUUUUAUAAAUAAUUGGUUCUAGUUUCUAGUAUUAUUGUACACAAUCGCUAUGUUUGUUGCACCUCCAAAAAUCUACUACUUGUAAUUAAUUGUAUAUUAUUCUCCAUAUUCACAUCAGUUUAUGUAGUAUGAUUAAUUUAGCAACAAAAUAUAAGUUUACUUGAAAUCGCUUUAAAUUCCUAUGAUAUUAAAGUUUAAGAUUAAAACAAUUUAACAUUAGCCAAAAAGAUUAAGAUCUAUAAUGUAACAUAUAAAAUUUAGAAAAUUCAAGGAAGGGUAAACUCGCACCUGUUCUACCCAGAAGAGUGGCUCAAGUUCACAUUCAGAAUUUAUUUGUUGAAAGAGUAUCUCCACUUUAUCACAAUCGAGCACUUCCAAUUCUUUCAGAAGUGGCCAACUUGAACUAAACUUUCUAGAGCAAAAUCUUUUGAGUUGGUGUAAACCGGAGAGUGUGAGAGAGGUAAGGUUAGGGAAUAAAAGUAAAAGUGCUGCUUCAUCUUCAUUUUCAUUGUGAACAAUUGCCUCCACUCCACUAUAAAAUAUAUUUAGGUUCUCAAGUUGCACAAGAGCACUCGCCACAGAAACCGGAAAAAGGUUUAGCAAUUUGUUGCAUCCCCUUACUUGCAAUUUCCUUAAUUUGGAAAAUGAAUUUGCUGGAAGUUGGUCAGGCCACAAUGCUCUUAUAUUAUCUAGUCCGCAUACAGACACGGACUCCAAGCCUGGGAGUGCAACCUGUGCAAUUGAUGAUCCCUUUAGUUAAUAAUAUAUACAUAUACAUUCCUAAUAAUUAGACACAUGUAAAUAGAAAAU